AUUGAACGCUGGCGGUAUGCUUAAGACAUGCAAGUCGAACGGUAACAGGUUAAGCUGACGAGUGGCGGACGAGUGAGUAACGCGUGGGAAUCUACCUAGUGGUGCGGAAUAGCUCAGGGAAACUUGGGGUAAUACCGCAUGAGCCCGAAAGGGGAAGAUUUAUCGCCAUUAGAUGGGCCCGCGUAGGAUUAGCUAGUUGGUGAGGUAAUGGCUCGACCAAGGGCAACGGAUCCCUUAGCUGGUUUGAGAGAAUGACCAGCCACACUGGGACUGAGACACGGCCCAGACUCCUACGGGAGGCAGCAGUGGGGAAUCUUGGACAAUGGGCGCAAGCCUGAUCCAGCCAUGCCGCGUGAGUGACGAAGGCCUUAGGGUUGUAAAGCUCUUUUGGCGGGACGAUAAUGACGGUACCCGCAGAAUAAGCCCCGGCUAACUUCGUG
rnacentral:rRNA from 1 species